GACGAACGCUGGCGGCGUGCUUAACACAUGCAAGUCGAACGGAAAGGCCCUGCUUUUGUGGGGUGCUCGAGUGGCGAACGGGUGAGUAACACGUGAGUAACCUGCCCUUGACUUUGGGAUAACUUCAGGAAACUGGGGCUAAUACCGGAUAGGAGCUCCUGCUGCAUGGUGGGGGUUGGAAAGUUUCGGCGGUUGGGGAUGGACUCGCGGCUUAUCAGCUUGUUGGUGGGGUAGUGGCUUACCAAGGCUUUGACGGGUAGCCGGCCUGAGAGGGUGACCGGCCAAAGUGGGAGUGAGAUACGGCCCAGACUCCUACGGGAGGCAGCAGUGGGGAAUAUUGCACAAUGGGCGGAAGCCUGAUGCAGCAACGCCGCGUGCGGGAUGACGGCCUUCGGGUGGUAAAACGCUUUCGCCUGUGACGAAGCGUGAGUGACGGUAAUGGGUAAAGAAGCACCGGAUAACUACGUG
rnacentral:rRNA from 1 species